rnacentral:rRNA from 1 species
UGAACGCUGGCGGCGUGCCUAAUACAUGCAAGUCGAGCGAACAGAUAAGGAGCUUGCUCCUUUGACGUUAGCGGCGGACGGGUGAGUAACACGUGGGUAACCUACCUAUAAGACUGGAAUAACUCCGGGAAACCGGGGCUAAUGCCGGAUAACAUUUAGAACCGCAUGGUUCUAAAGUGAAAGAUGGUUUUGCUAUCACUUAUAGAUGGACCCGCGCCGUAUUAGCUAGUUGGUAAGGUAACGGCUUACCAAGGCAACGAUACGUAGCCGACCUGAGAGGGUGAUCGGCCACACUGGAACUGAGACACGGUCCAGACUCCUACGGGAGGCAGCAGUAGGGAAUCUUCCGCGAUGGGCGAAAGCCUGACGGAGCAACGCCGCGUGAGUGAUGAAGGUCUUCGGAUCGUAAAACUCUGUUAUUAGGGAAGAACAAAUGUGUAAGUAACUGUGCACGUCUUGACGGUACCUAAUCAGAAAGCCACGGCUAACUACG